rnacentral:rRNA from 1 species
UAGGGAAUCUUCCACAAUGGACGCAAGUCUGAUGGAGCAACGCCGCGUGAGUGAAGAAGGUUUUCGGAUCGUAAAGCUCUGUUGUUGGUGAAGAAGGAUAGAGGCAGUAACUGGUCUUUAUUUGACGGUAAUCAACCAGAAAGUCACGGCUAACUACGUGCCAGCAGCCGCGGUAAUACGUAGGUGGCAAGCGUUGUCCGGAUUUAUUGGGCGUAAAGCGAGCGCAGGCGGAAUGAUAAGUCUGAUGUGAAAGCCCACGGCUCAACCGUGGAACUGCAUCGGAAACUGUCAUUCUUGAGUGCAGAAGAGGAGAGUGGAAUUCCAUGUGUAGCGGUGGAAUGCGUAGAUAUAUGGAAGAACACCAGUGGCGAAGGCGGCUCUCUGGUCUGCAGCUGACGCUGAGGCUCGAAAGCAUGGGUAGCGAACAGG